GUGCUUGCUUCAGCAGCACAUGUACUAAAAUUGGAAUGAUACAGAGAUUAGCAUGGCCCCUGUACAAGGAUGACACACAAAAAAUUAAGCAUGAGAAAUUUCAA